ACUUGCUUCGUGAGACGACAGUGCAUUGUCGUCUGUUUAGUUUAGUUUAGUUAGGUUGAAUACUUAGUUUUGUAUAUGCUUUUUUUUAAAUCCGAUCCGAACGGAAAUGUCGGAGUUGGUUAGCACAAACAAUAUCAUUAAUGCUCGGCUGGGCCAAUUACAAGCUCAAAUAUUCUAUUGUUUGACGUCAUUGAGUUGUAGUUUUGGGAGGUCCCUCACCGUCAAAUAUUUAGUUUUUUCUCAUGUUUUACGUGGAAGAAUUGGUCUGACGAUUGAGGCUGCAUAAGAGUUGAUACCAAAAUACCAAAGCCUGGGGUUAUUGGCUAUACCUUUUGUGUUAGCCUUUGAAAACCAAGAUGAAAUAGAAAACGACCAUGUCUGCCAUCACUGAUUUAUAAUAAAUCAAACCUGUUCCAUUACAUCCAUAACCUAACCAACUUUAACCUGUCAACUGUAGAUGAACAAACCUCCUAUUACAUUUGGAAAACAACAAAUAAAUGACCAUUCCAACCAUGAAAACAGAGACCCAAAACCAUGGGUUUUUCAUCUUCCCUUUUCC
rnacentral:lncRNA from 1 species